rnacentral:rRNA from 1 species
UACAGAGGUCUCGAGCGUUAGGCGGAAUCACUGGGCUUAAAGCGUGUGUAGGCGGAUCGGUAAGUACCUUGUGAAAUCCCACAGCUUAACUGUGGAACUGCUUGGUAUACUGCCAGUCUUGAGCCACUUAGGGGCUACCGGAACAAAUGGUGGAGCGGUGAAAUGCGUAGAUAUCGUUUGGAACGCCAAUGGUGAAAACAGGUAGCUGGGAGUGUGCCGACGCUGAGACACGAAAGCCAGGGGAGCGAACGGG